CCUACGGGAGGCAGCAGUGAGGAAUAUUGGUCAAUGGACGAGAGUCUGAACCAGCCAAGUAGCGUGAAGGAUGACUGCCCUAUGGGUUGUAAACUUCUUUUAUAUGGGAAUAAAACGUUCCACGUGUGGGAUUUUGUAUGUACCAUAUGAAUAAGGAUCGGCUAACUCCGUGCCAGCAGCCGCGGUAAUACGGAGGAUCCGAGCGUUAUCGGGUUUUAUUGGGUUUAAAGGGAGCGUAGGUGGAUUGUUAAGUCAGUUGUGAAAGUUUGCGGCUCAACCGUAAAAUUGCAGUUGAAACUGGCAGUCUUGAGUACAGUAGAGGUGGGCGGAAUUCGUGGUGUAGCGGUGAAAUGCUUAGAUAUCACGAAGAACUCCGAUUGCGAAGGCAGUUCACUGGACUGCAACUGACACUGAGGCUCGAAAGUGUGGGUAUCAAACAGGAUUAGAUACCCUUGUAGUC
rnacentral:rRNA from 1 species